rnacentral:rRNA from 1 species
CUACGGGGGGCAGCAGUGGGGAAUAUUGGACAAUGGGGGGAACCCUGAUCCAGCCAUGCCGCGUGUGUGAAGAAGGCCCUCGGGUUGUAAAGCACUUUCAGUGAGGAAGAACGCCUGGUGGUUAAUACCCAUCAGGAAAGACAUCACUCACAGAAGAAGCACCGGCUAACUCCGUGCCAGCAGCCGCGGUAAUACGGAGGGUGCGAGCGUUAAUCGGAAUUACUGGGCGUAAAGCGCGCGUAGGUGGCUUGAUAAGCCGGUUGUGAAAGCCCCGGGCUCAACCUGGGAACGGCAUCCGGAACUGUCAAGCUAGAGUGCAGGAGAGGAAGGUAGAAUUCCCGGUGUAGCGGUGAAAUGCGUAGAGAUCGGGAGGAAUACCAGUGGCGAAGGCGGCCUUCUGGACUGACACUGACACUGAGGUGCGAAAGCGUGGGUAGCAAACAGGAUUAGAUACCCUGGUAGUC